rnacentral:rRNA from 1 species
CUUUUGCGUACCGUAUGUUUCCUCGGCGGGCUUGCCUGCCGGUUGGACAAUAUCAAACCUUUUUGUAGUUGCAAUCAGCGUCAGAAAACAAAUAAUAAUUACAACUUUCAACAACGGAUCUCUUGGUUCUGGCAUCGAUGAAGAACGCAGCGAAAUGCGAAAAGUAGUGUGAAUUGCAGAAUUCAGUGAAUCAUCGAAUCUUUGAACGCACAUUGCGCCCCUUGGUAUUCCAUGGGGCAUGCCUGUUCGAGCGUCAUUUUGUACCCUCAAGCACUGCUUGGUGUUGGGCGUUUGUCCUGCAAAGGACUCGCCUGAAAGCGAUUGGCGGCCAACGUACUGGUGGUAGAGCGCAGCACAAUUUGCGUCUCUCCCUUCUACGUCGGCGUCCAUGAAGCCUUAUUCAAACGUUUGACCUCGGAUCAGGUAGGGAUACCCGCUGAACUUAAGCAUAUC